CUCGACGGCACCGGGUUCGGUACUGGGAGAGUGGCUAUCCCUGCUGUGUUCGCUGUAUUUGUGACGAAUCAUACAGGGACAUCCAGUUUUUCAGUAUCAAAUACUGCUCGGGAGCACU
rnacentral:pre_miRNA from 14 species